AGGGUUUGAUUAUGGCUCAGGACGAACGCUGGCGGCGUGCUUAACACAUGCAAGUCGAACGAUGAAGCCUAGCUUGCUAGGUGGAUUAGUGGCGAACGGGUGAGUAAUACGUGAGUAACCUACCUUUAACUCUGGGAUAAGCCUGGGAAACUGGGUCUAAUACCGGAUACGACCAAUCUCCGCAUGGGGUGUUGGUGGAAAGCGUUAUGUAGUGGUUAUAGAUGGGCUCACGGCCUAUCAGCUUGUUGGUGAGGUAACGGCUCACCAAGGCGACGACGGGUAGCCGGCCUGAGAGGGUGACCGGCCACACUGGGACUGAGACACGGCCCAG
rnacentral:rRNA from 1 species